CGAAGAACCUUACCUGGGUUUGACAUGCACCAGACGCACUCAGAGAUGGGUGUUCCCUUGUGGUUGGUGUGCAGGUGGUGCAUGGCUGUCGUCAGCUCGUGUCGUGAGAUGUUGGGUUAAGUCCCGCAACGAGCGCAACCCUUGUUCCAUGUUGCCAGCGGGUGAUGCCGGGGACUCAUGGGAGACUGCCGGGGUCAACUCGGAGGAAGGUGGGGAUGACGUCAAGUCAUCAUGCCCCUUAUGUCCAGGGCUUCACACAUGCUACAAUGGCCUAUACAGAGGGCUGCGAGACCGUGAGGUGGAGCGAAUCCCUUAAAGUGGGUCUCAGUUCGGAUCGGGGUCUGCAACUCGACCCCGUGAAGUUGGAGUCGCUAGUAAUCGCAGAUCAGCAACGCUGCGGUGAAUACGUUCCCGGGUCUUGUACACACCGA
rnacentral:rRNA from 1 species